rnacentral:lncRNA from 1 species
CAGCGCCCCUGCUCUGUGCUGCAUUUGGAAAGAACCUAAAUGUCCUCCCUCUGAAGACUGGUUAAACAUCUGGUUAUGAUCCAGUGCUCACGUUUCUGGAAUCCGUUCCUUUGGCUGUGCCACUUGUGAUCCCUUCUGCUCCAACGUUUGCCUGGGGAGCUCAUUAGGUAGCCAGGACCCUGGGCCACUGCACCCCACCAGGACGGCAGGACUGAAAAGGCCACUGACCUGCUCAUCUGACACCUGAGGGCCGCUGGAGACCCAGGGACACUCCUGCUGCGGCUCAUGUUUGGAAGCUGUCCGGAGGCGGGACU